rnacentral:rRNA from 1 species
GAUGAACGCUGGCGGCGUGCCUAAUACAUGCAAGUCGAGCGAACAGAUGAGGAGCUUGCUCCUUUGACGUUAGCGGCGGACGGGUGAGUAACACGUGGGUAACCUACCUAUAAGACUGGAAUAACUCCGGGAAACCGGGGCUAAUGCCGGAUAACAUGUUGAACCGCAUGGUUCUACAGUGAAAGGCGGCUUUGCUGUCACUUAUAGAUGGACCCGCGCCGUAUUAGCUAGUUGGUGAGGUAACGGCUCACCAAGGCAACGAUACGUAGCCGACCUGAGAGGGUGAUCGGCCACACUGGAACUGAGACACGGUCCAGACUCCUACGGGAGGCAGCAGUAGGGAAUCUUCCGCAAUGGGCGAAAGCCUGACGGAGCAACGCCGCGUGAGUGAUGAAGGUCUUCGGAUCGUAAAACUCUGUUAUUAGGGAAGAACAAAUGCGUAAGUAACUGUGCGCGUCUUGACGGUACCUAAUCAGAAAGCCACGGCUAACUACGUG